rnacentral:rRNA from 1 species
GACGAACGCUGGCGGCGUGCUUAACACAUGCAAGUCGAACGCUGAAGCUUGGUGCUUGCACUGGGUGGAUGAGUGGCGAACGGGUGAGUAAUACGUGAGUAACCUGCCCUUGACUCUGGGAUAAGCCUGGGAAACUGGGUCUAAUACUGGAUAUGACAUGCCACUGCAUGGUGGUGUGUGGAAAGGGUUUUACUGGUUUUGGAUGGGCUCACGGCCUAUCAGCUUGUUGGUGGGGUAAUGGCCUACCAAGGCGACGACGGGUAGCCGGCCUGAGAGGGUGACCGGGCACACUGGGACUGAGACACGGCCCAGACUCCUACGGGAGGCAGCAGUGGGGAAUAUUGCACAAUGGGCGGAAGCCUGAUGCAGCGACGCCGCGUGAGGGAUGACGGCCUUCGGGGUGUAAACCUCUUUCAGCACGGAAGAAGCGGGAGUGACGGUACGUGCAGAAGAAGCGCCGGCUAACUACGUG